rnacentral:rRNA from 1 species
UACGUAGGGGGCUAGCGUUGUCCGGAAUCAUUGGGCGUAAAGCGCGUGUAGGCGGUCCGGUAAGUCCGCUGUGAAAGUCGGGGGCUCAACCCUCGGAUGCCGGUGGAUACUGUCGGGCUUGAGUACGGAAGAGGCGGAGUGGAAUUCCUGGUGUAGCGGUGAAAUGCGCAGAUAUCAGGAGGAACACCAAUUGCGAAGGCAGCUCGCUGGGACGUUACUGACGCUGAGACGCGAAAGCGUGGGGAGCAAACAGG